AAUGAACGCUGGCGGCGUGCCUAAUACAUGCAAGUCGAACGAACGGACGAUAAGCUUUCUUCUCUGAUGGUAGCGGCGGACGGGCGGGUAACACGUGGAUCACCUACUUAUAAGACUGGGAUAACUUCGGAAAACCGUAUCUACUACCAGCUAAUAUGUUGAACCGCAUGGUUCAAAGGUGAAAGACGGUCUUGCUGUCACUUAUAGCUGGAUCCGCGCUGGAUUAGCUAGUUGGUAAGGUAACGGCUUACCAAGGCAACGAUGCAUAGCUGACCUGAGAGGAUGAUCGGCCACACUGGAACUGAGACACGGUCCAGACUCCUACGGGAGGCAGCAGUAGGGAAUCUUGGACAAUGGGCGCAAGCCUGACGCAGCAACGCCGCGUGAGUGAUGAAGGCCUUCGGAUCGUAAAACUCUGUUAUUAGGGAAGAACAUCUGUGUAAGAAUACGUGGACAUCUUGACGGUACCUAAUGAGAAAGCAACGGCUAACUACGUG
rnacentral:rRNA from 1 species